rnacentral:rRNA from 1 species
CACGUAGGGUGCGAGCGUUGUCCGGAAUUAUUGGGCGUAAAGAGCUCGUAGGCGGUGUGUCGCGUCGGCCGUGAAAACCUGCAGCUUAACUGUGGGCUUGCGGUCGAUACGGGCAUCACUGGAGUUCGGCAGGGGAGACUGGAAUUCCUGGUGUAGCGGUGAAAUGCGCAGAUAUCAGGAGGAACACCGAUGGCGAAGGCAGGUCUCUGGGCCGAUACUGACGCUGAGGAGCGAAAGCGUGGGGAGCAAACAGG